UGUCCAGUUACUAUCAGGUAAUGCUGAGGACUCUGGACAGACUGCCAUCGUAAGAUGUGAGGAAGGUGGGGAUGACGUCAAAUCAGCACGGCCCUUACGUCCGGGGCUACACACGUGUUACAAUGGGGGGUACAGAAGGCAGCUACCGGGCGACCGGAUGCCAAUCCCGAAAGCCUCUCUCAGUUCGGACUGGAGUCUGCAACCCGACUCCACGAAGCUGGAUUCGCUAGUAAUCGCGCAUCAGCCACGGCGCGGUGAAUACGUUCCCGGGCCUUGUACACACCGCCCGUCAAGCCAUGAAAGCCGGGGGUACCUGAAGUGCGUAACCGCAAGGAGCGCCCUAGGGUAAAACUGGUAAUUGGGGCUAAGUCGUAACAAGGUAGCCGUACCGGAAGGUGCGGCUGGAACACCUCCUUUCUGGAGAGGGACCGACGAAGGUUCUUGCCUUGUGCUGCAGAUGAGUUUGUUUUUCGAUAUAAGAAGAGAGAAAGAUGAAGCCGAGUCGGAACGGACGAGGUUGAACUGAAUCACACAGUCAAUAGUUUGGUUUUCGCUUUUAACUGUUAACUUUUAACUAUUAACUGACACAGUCCUAUAGCUCAGUUGGUUAGAGCGCUACACUGAUAAUGUAGAGGUCGGCAGUUCAACUCUGCCUGGGACUACCUCGAAAGAAGGGAGCGAAAAAAACUUCCUUAAAAUUUUGCAGGAACGAAGGGAAAUGCUUACCUUUGCAGCCGUUUUGAAAAAAUGAAGCAUGAAUCUUGGGGGAUUAGCUCAGCUGGCUAGAGCACCUGCUUUGCACGCAGGGGGUCAACGGUUCGAAUCCGUUAUUCUCCACUUGAAGGGUUAAAAGGCAAGAGUUGAAAAUUAAAAGUGAUUUUAACUGUUAACUAUUAACUUUUAACUGAAAAACGGUCUAUGACAUGAUGUAACAAGCAAAAAGUAAUUUUAGUACGAAAGCUAAAAGUAUAUAUCAUCCCGCACCCGUCGAAAGACGGAAUGUGCACGUGAUAAGGAAAGUAGGAAAGGGCGCAUGGCGGAUGCCUUGGCUCUCGGAGGCGAUGAAGGACGUGAUAAGCUGCGAUAAGCCGCGGGGAGGUGCAAAUAACCUUUGAUCCGCGGAUUUCCGAAUGGGACAACCCGUUAUCUUGAAGAGAUAACAUCCAUCUUCAGAUGGAGGCNUCUGGAGCGUAUGGAAAAGCAAAUGUAGGUAUAAGUAACGAUAAAGGGGGUGGGAAACCCCCUCGCCGAAAGACUAAGGUUUCCUGAUCAACGCUAAUCGGAUCAGGGUAAGUCGGGUCCUAAGGCUCAGCCGAACGGCGAGGCCGAUGGCAGAAACGGUUAAUAUUCCGUUACUACCUUUGAGGGUGACGUGGGGAAGCAGCAGUGACACCGCCGCCGGCUGACGGAAUAGCCGGUUGAAGGGUGUAGGCGUCGAUUUCCGCAGGCAAAUCCACGGAAAGAGCCGAACCUGAUAGUACGCCAACUCCUUCGGGAAGCGGCGAUAGCGCGGGUAAGCAGACUGCCGAGAAAAUCCGCUAAACAUAACUUCAGAGGUACCCGUACCGCAAACGGACACACGUAGUCGGGUUGAAUAUACUAAGGCGCUUGAGUGAAUCACGGUUAAGGAACUAGGCAAACUGACCCUGUAACUUCGGGAUAAAGGGUCCCUCCUCGCAAGAGAGGGCGCAGAGAAUAGGUCCAGGCAACUGUUUAACAAAAACACAGGGCUGUGCGAAUAUGAAAGUAGAAGUAUACAGCCUGACACCUGCCCGGUGCUGGAAGGUUAAGAGGAGAUGUCAUCGCAAGAGAAGCAUUGAAUUGAAGCCCCAGUAAACGGCGGCCGUAACUAUAACGGUCCUAAGGUAGCGAAAUUCCUUGUCGGGUAAGUUCCGACCUGCACGAAUGGUGUAAUGAUCCGGACGCUGUCUCAACCGUGAGCUCAGUGAAAUUGUAGUAUCGGUGAAGAUGCCGAUUACCCGCGAUGGGACGAAAAGACCCCGUGAACCUUUACUAUAGCUUAGCAUUGAAUUUGGGCACGCGAUGUGUAGGAUAGGUCGGAGGCUGAGAGACGGGCACGCCAGUGUUCGUGGAGCCGCUGUUGAAAUACGACCCUUCGUUUGUUUGAGUUCUAACUCCAGGCAGGAGGACAUUGCUUGGUGGGUAGUUUGACUGGGGUGGUCGCCUCCAAAAGCGUAACGGAGGCUUCUAAAGGUGCCCUCAGGACGAUUGGUAACCGUCCGCAGAGUGUAAUGGCAUAAGGGCGCUUGACUGGGAGACAGACAAGUCGAGCAGGUAGGAAACUAGAGCAUAGUGAUCCGGUGUUUCCGUAUGGAAGGGACAUCGCUCAAAGGAUAAAAGGUACUCCGGGGAUAACAGGCUGAUCCCUCCCAAGAGCUCAUAUCGACGGAGUGGUUUGGCACCUCGAUGUCGGCUCGUCACAUCCUGGGGCUGGAGAAGGUCCCAAGGGUUGGGCUGUUCGCCCAUUAAAGUGGCACGCGAGCUGGGUUCAGAACGUCGUGAGACAGUUCGGUCUCUAUCUAUCGUGGGCGUAUGAAAUUUGCGUGGCUCUGACACUAGUACGAGAGGACCGUGUUGGACCGACCUCUGGUUUACCGGUUGUGCCGCCAGGCGCAUCGCCGGGUAUCUAAGUCGGGAUCGGAUAAGCGCUGAAAGCAUCUAAGUGCGAAGCCGGCCACAAGAUUAGAUUUCUCAGGGUCGUUGAAGACGACAACGUUGAUAGGAUGCAGGUGUAAAGCUGGAGACAGCAAAGCCGAGCAUUACUAAUUGCCCGAAGGCUUUCCUUA
rnacentral:rRNA from 1 species